GCUAGCGUAGUACAGUGGUUUUGAAUGUUAGACAAUGACUCUGGAGACCAGGGUUCGAUUCCUUGCUCAGUCA